AGACAAGAUGGCUGGUACAGUAACAGUGCAAACACUGAGUUUUGAAAAUGGUAACAUCAGUCUGAUUGACAAGAAUCUGGAGCUGCCUAGAGCUAACAUCCGAAACACUGGAGCUGCAACUUCUGAAGUAACUGUGUCUUUUGGCAAGGCCCGUAGCCCAGGUAGCCCUUGGGGGUCCCUCUGUGGCAUAGGCAAAGGGAUGUCUGGGAUUUCCCAAUGUCCACAGUAUCCUGAUAGACCUCUUCUAAGCCACUUUUAAGAAAUGGAGACUUGGAAACUUCAGUGCACAGCCUGCCAGGAACAAGGACUGCCGCAGUUCAACUAUGCCACUGUGGAAGGAAAGGAACUGUCUUUUCCUCUACGGGGAGGGAAAGAGGUUCAGGUCAGCACCAUUCUGAAAGAACAGAAGGCACCCUUCAAGCCUGACUCCUCGCAUUUUUCUGUCUCAGACUGACUCUCUGAUGUUCCACCAAAACCCUUAUCACAACUGGCACAUUCAAAAUCACACUCCUCUAUGUGGAUUUUUGAGCACCUAACGUGGAAAGUAGUCACACUACAGCCUUUCCCUCAGGGAGCACUGAUUUACAUGCCACUACUCUACCCUGCUGUCUGUGUUCAGGCCGUUUGGACAUCAACUCUUACAAGUGCUCAGUCCAGUUUCUGGCUCAGUCAUGCUCUAUGUCUAAUGCUGAAGUCAUGCAAUCCACCUCAAUUCAUAGAAUCAUUGAAUGGCUUUGGUCUGAAGGAACCUUUAAAGGUCACCUAGAAUAACCCCACUGCACUGAGCAGGGACAUCUUCAACUAUAUCAGAUUGCUCAGAACCCCAUCCCACCUGACCUUGGAUGUUUCCAGGGACGUGGCAUCUACUCCCUCUCUGGGAAACCUGUUCCCAUAUUUCACCACCUUCAUUAUAAAAAAAUUCUUCCUUAUAUCUAUUCUCAAUCGACCUUCUUUUAGUUUAAAACUAUUACCCCUUUUCCUAUUGCAACAAGCCCUGCUAAAAAGUUUGGCCCUAUUUUCUUAUAAGCCCUCUAAGUAUUGAAAGACAAACAUCCUUUCCUUACCUUUAAAAUAUUUUGCUACCUCGCAACGUGUUGCAAGGAUCAUGACAGCUACUCAGAUUGUGAAAAGAGUCAAAUAAGUCUAUACAGGUUUCAAAUUUAGGCAUAUCAGCAGCCUUUAUUGAGAGGGAGCACAGUCAUCUAUGCCCCACAGUGCACUAUUCUGCACUGGAAUGAACAUAAAUAUUACUCUAAAAAAACCCCAACAACCUCUCUCUCUCCUAAACCCCCAGCCACCCCACCCAAAAAAAAAAACCCAACAAAAAAAAAGCAUUACCUUCUAGCCAAUGCCUACAAAAAAAAAAAAUCAGUCUUCACUAUACAAAUAUUCCAUUAAUCCAGAUUUCCCGAUUGCUGCACAGGACUACCCACCUCUCAAACUGAAAAGUCUUGUUUAUUGAUGCAUGGCCAGGACGGCUACACUUGACAAGGACAGUUUCCUAAGAGAAAAAAAAAUCAAAAUAUUUAUAGUUAGUAUGACAGGCACACACACGACAAGAAAUAUGUAUCAAUUCUAAUGUUCCAGUUGACAGCAGUAAGUAAGGAUCAGGAAGUCCAAGGGCCUUCAGUCACCAACACACAAGGCUGCUUCAGAGGCUGUACACUGCAGUGAACUAGCAAGACCACAAGAAAGGAUUUCAAACCCCAUUCAGGUUAUUAAAUAACAACCAUCACAAAACAUGCACUUAAGUUCGACAGAAAAAUACAAACCCUUACAUGAACUUCUUUUGUACCUAGAAAGUCACAGGCAAGUAAACCCAACAUUCCUAACUGCCACCACCAGGUAGAAAAAAUGGCAAAAAGUGCUCUUUUUUCUUAUUGGGCAAAUUUUCACAGUGCCUUUUUAAACUGAUUUCAUAUAUAGUUAUGUCUAGAACUAAGCACAAGAUGCACCUUUCAUUAAAUAACAAGCUAGUCCACAACUGUGAGGAAGAGUUGCACUAGCACAAUUGGUAGAAUUCCAUGAGGUUUUAGUGGAAUCCACUUUCCAGAUGAAUUAUACAGUAGCUUUGUAAGUCCCACAAAUAUGUAAGCAGCUCUUUAUACUAUUACCAGAGUACAAUCACAGCAGACUGACAUGCCUUAUGUAGCAAAUUCUGUGCCCUUCUGCUCCUCAUGGCAGAAGUUGCCUAAUUGCUGAGUGAAGCAAAGAAAAAUUAUGUGGGGGUUUACAAGAAUUUGGGUGGAAGCUCGCUAGCACACAAAAUAAUUCUUCCCAUUCAAGGAGGUUUUCUACCUUACUAACCUGUGGUUACAGAACUGCAUUUGAUGGGAGUGCUGAAAUUCCUAAUGUGCUUCAGACAAGUGGCUUGGAAUGCUGAACUAGUGGCCUUCAAAUGAGUAUUGCCACAGACUGAAGCUCAUAAAGAGCUGAGCAAAUAAUGAUUGCAUAGCAGUAUGUCCAGCAGGCAAAUGGCUAAUAAACAUCAAAUUUCUUGCUCUGAGUUUACAAGUAUUUCUUCUUCUUUGCAGAAAGAAAAUGUAUCAUUAUCAAAGUAAUGAUGACAGAACACUUACUCUACAUAAUGAGGUAUGUUACCUACCCCAGUACUGCCAAAAUUAGCGGAGUACAGAUGUCAGUACAACACUUUGCUACAAAAUGGCCUGACACAGAAAAUCUAAUAGGAUUGGCAACCAACAGGCUAUGGGGGAAAGGAAAAAGAUAAAAAACAACAACAACAACAAACAAACACAAAAAAACCAACCAACCAACCAAAACAAAACAAAAACACAAAAAGCAAAUAGAGUUAUGGAAGACAUUUCUGAUUCAGAUAUCAAAUUUACUUGCAGAUCAGCUUUCUCUAAGGUGAGAAAUGAGAUAGAAAAAACCUCUUUGUGUAACAUAGAAACAAAAGAAUUAACUGUUAAUAGGCAGCAGUUUCAUAUGAGCAUUUGUAAUGACCUUCCUUUCUCGGAAGCUCAGUAUGGCCUAACAUAUCCACCACAGCUGCUGGCCUACAGAAUCUCAUCAAGUUUCCCUGUCAAUAGGGUUUGUGAAAUCCAUACUGCUGUCUCACAUGAACACUGAAGAAUCUUUUUUGCAUCCCAGAGUUACAGAAUACUCCCAGUCUGAGUUCUUUCAUUGCCAUAAGGAUCAUGAAAAUGACAAAAGGAUACUUCAGAAAUAUCCACAAUCAUAAAUAUUCACUAUCUGUCUUGACACCCAAGCAUGACUCCCCAGGCCUGGGUAACAGAUCAGUAAGUGAAAUUACGUAAGGCAGAGAAAUCAUUUCCAAUGAGUUAUAUGCAAUACCAGAUACAGCCAUGAUCACAGAAUCCAGCUGGGGUAAUUAUAAGUUCUCAUUGCUUGUUACUCUGUAUCUGCUGAAUGCUGUGCCCCCUUUUCCAAGACUGCUGUUCCACAGCACAGACAAUGUAAGUGAGACUGUGACUGCUCCUCAUGUGUCAGUGUCAACUUCAGUGCAACUAAGACUGGUGUGGACAGCUUAAAGGAAUAAAAUUCUAGUUGUGAUAAGCAACUGGGGAGUGAUAAUGUCUUCAUUUGCUAUGGCCAUCUGAUCUAUUAUAAAGUUAUCUCCCAAGGAAAGGAGGGAGUUAAAGGGCUCCCAAAAUCUCCUAAGGAAAGGAGGGCUGUGUUAAUUCAUGUUAAUUCUUUAAGAAACAGCAGAAUUUUGUGCCUUCCUUGAUAUUCAGUGCAGUCUCCUAGCCAUCCA